AUUGAACGCUGGCGGAAUGCUUUACACAUGCAAGUCGAACGGCAGCACGGGGGCAACCCUGGUGGCGAGUGGCGAACGGGUGAGUAAUACAUCGGAACGUGCCCAGUCGUGGGGGAUAACGUAGCGAAAGCUACGCUAAUACCGCAUACGAUCUACGGAUGAAAGCGGGGGAUCGCAAGACCUCGCGCGAUUGGAGCGGCCGAUGGCAGAUUAGGUAGUUGGUGAGGUAAAGGCUCACCAAGCCGACGAUCUGUAGCUGGUCUGAGAGGACGACCAGCCACAAUGGGACUGAGACACGGCCCAGACUCCUACGGGAGGCAGCAGUGGGGAAUUUUGGACAAUGGGCGCAAGCCUGAUCCAGCCAUUCCGCGUGCAGGAUGAAGGCCCUCGGGUUGUAAACUGCUUUUGUACGGAACGAAACGGCUCUCUCUAAUACAGGGGGCUAAUGACGGUACCGUAAGAAUAAGCACCGGCUAACUACGUGCCAGCCGCCGCUGUAA
rnacentral:rRNA from 1 species